CCUACGGGGGGCAGCAGUCGAGAAUCAUUCACAAUGGGGGAAACCCUGAUGGUGCGACGCCGCGUGGGGGAAUGAAGGUCUUCGGAUUGUAAACCCCUGUCAUGUGGGAGCAAAUAAAAAAGAUAGUACCACAAGAGGAAGAGACGGCUAACUAUGUGCCAGCAGCCGCGGGAAUAAAGAGGUCUAAAGCGUUGUUCGGAAUCACUGGGCGUAAAGCGUGCGUAGGCGGUGUCGUAAGGCGUGAGUGAAAGGCGCGGGCUCAACCCGCGGACGGCACAUGAUACUGCGAGAUUAGAGUAAUGGAGGGGGAACCGGAAUUCUCGGUGUAGCAGUGAAAUGCGUAGAUAUCGAGAGGAACACUCGUGGCGAAGGCGGGUUCCUGGACAUUAACUGACGCUGAGGCACGAAGGCCAGGGGAGCGAAAGGGAUUAGAUACCCCGGUAGUC
rnacentral:rRNA from 1 species